CCUACGGGGGGCAGCAGUGAGGAAUAUUGGUCAAUGGGCGCUAGCCUGAACCAGCCAAGUAGCGUGAAGGAUGAAUGUCCUAUGGGUUGUAAACUUCUUUUAUAUGGGAACAAAGUGCAGUAUGUAUACCGCUUUGCAUGUACCUUAUGAAUAAGGAUCGGCUAACUCCGUGCCAGCAGCCGCGGUAAUACGGAGGAUGCGAGCGUUAUCCGGAUUUAUUGGGUUUAAAGGGUGCGUAGGCGGGCUUUUAAGUCAGCGGUAAAAACCCGGGGCUCAACCCCGUCCGGCCGUUGAAACUGGGGGCCUUGAGUGGGCGAGAAGAAGGCGGAAUGCGUGGUGUAGCGGUGAAAUGCAUAGAUAUCACGCAGAACCCCGAUUGCGAAGGCAGCAUUCCGGCGCCCUACUGACGCUGAGGCACGAAAGUGCGGGGAUCGAACAGGAUUAGAUACCCGUGUAGUC
rnacentral:rRNA from 1 species